AUACGGAGGGUGCAAGCGUUAUUCGGAAUCACUGGGCGUAAAGGACGCGUAGGCGGGUUGGCAAGUCAGAUGUGAAAUCCUACAGCUUAACUGUAGAACUGCAUUUGAAACUGCUAACCUAGAGUAUGGGAGGGGGAGUUGGAAUUAGUGGUGUAGGGGUAAAAUCCGUAGAUAUCACUAGGAAUACCGAAAGCGAAGGCGAUCUCCUGGAACAUAACUGACGCUAAGGCGUGAAAGCGUGGGGAGCAAACAGGAUUAGAUACCCUAGUAGUCC
rnacentral:rRNA from 1 species